CUUUCCUUUCUCCUUCCAGCUCUUGGUAACCAUCAUUCUUUCAAUCUCUAUGAAUUUGACUAUCCCAGGUCAUAUCUAAAAAGUCCUUGGGUGGCUCAGUGGUUGAGCAUCUGCCUUUGGCUAAGGGCAUGAUGAUAAAAUUAAGCAGCCAUUUCUAACAAAAAUGCUAAAUAAGAUGGAAGUUAAUGACAAUUACUUAAAUAUUUGUUAAACAAAAAAACAACAGGAAACAUUAUACUGUGGAAAAUCAAAAGCCAUUUCCAUUAUCAUGAGGAAAGAGACAGUCACACACAGAGAGAAUGAGAGAGAGAGAGGCAGAGACACAGACAGAGGGAGAAGCAGGCUCCAUGCACCGGGAGCCCGACGUGGGAUUCGAUCCCGGGUCUCCAGGAUCGCGCCCUGGGCCAAAGGCAGGCGCCAAACCGCUGCGCCACCCAGGGAUCCCUACAUCCAUGUAUAUCUCUGACACAAUUUUUAAGUCAUCCCUUAGAGAUUUAGAUACAAUACCUUGACUUGAACAUUUACAUCAUUUGUAAAAAUUAACACCAAAUAAAUUUUUUACGUUAUUUCCUUUUUCCAAAUACAACAUUCAUUUCUUAGACCGUUGGUUCUUAACUGGGUCUCCAAAACAUUAUUUCCUUUUUCCACAUACAACAUUCAUUUCUUAGACCGAUGGUUCUUAACUGGGUCUCCAAAGGAAACAUAGCACUAUUAACUGCUGGGGGGCGGAUUAUGUGUUGGUAUCUAGUGGGUAGAGGACCAAAAUGAUGCUAAACUCCUACGUUGCAAAGGACUCCUGUGGCAACAAGGAAUUAUUUGGUCUGAAAUGUUAACAGUGCCAGGGUGGAGGAAGUCUUUUUUUUAAACUAACUGCCAAAAAAUACAUAAGAUAAGCACAGAAAUAGUUACAUAUACGACACAGUUUGAAUAGCCUCUUACAAGUAAUGCUUAUUUUCUAUUUUAAGUUGGCAUAGUAGGGAAUGUUUAUAUUAAUUGGUACACUGUAAUAACUGAAUUCCUUUCUCUUUUAAAAAAAAUUAGGAGGCACUUUAAGAGAUUAAAGGACAGAUCAUUCCAAACUACUUAGUAUUAAAAAAGGGAGAGAAAGCACUUUCCAUUGUGAUCUUACACCUGUGUUUUUUUAAAAAAAGGAUUAAAAUAAUUUUUACUAUGUCAACCAAAAAUUUAUAUUUGAAAUUAAAAGUAAAACAAUACACAUUACAAAGAAGCCCUGGGAUAACUCAUCUGGAUUAAAUCUAUGCAGAGACUGCAUAUUAGAGGGAGAUUCCCAAGCACCUGCCAAAUGAGAAAUCCAAAGAGAGUUCCCCACAGAGACUAAACUAUUUUUAAAACAGUAUUUUACAUCAUAUACACAUAUACACAAAAAUAAUUCCCAGGUAAAUCAAAGACCUAAAAGUAAGAGAUAAAAUCAUAAAACAUAGAUGACUUUUGGUUUCCAGUUCAACUUGAAAAGAGCUUGGAAAUCAUCCUUCCCAUCCUCUAACAGCAAGAAAAGCUGAAGAAUUUGAAAAUCCGCACUCUUCUUAGAGUCAUCAGAGAAUUGAGAUUAUAGGGCACAUUGCUGCCUUGAAAUCUGGAAAGAGAGGUAGAUACUGAGAACCACAGCUUACCCAGAACAAAAGCCUAUAUAGCAGAAACCUGCUAAGUAGCUAGUACUCGUAGGAACACUUAGCUAUAAUCAAUUAAUUGAUGGAGGCUUAGUGUGGAUUAGCUAGAGAAUUUGAACCUCCAGAGGUCCAGUCUUCUUAAGGGAUGCUCCCACACUUUAAUGAGUUUUACUUUAGGAGCUCUGCUAGGUUCUCAGGGUAAACAAA